rnacentral:rRNA from 1 species
AUGUGGCUCCUCGUCCUCGAUCCAGUGGUAGAGGAGGUGAAGACGACUGCGGCAGAGCUGCAGAAGGCGGUGGAGCGGCGAAUGGGCCUCGUUGGCCACGGUUUCGACGCUGAUGCGGCCAUGGAGCUCUCGGAUUUGCAAGGGGAGGAAGAAACCGAGAGGGGAAAGGGGAUUUGGGAGCUAAGGUUUGGCCAGAGAGGUCAACGACAACCUUGUAGGGUGCCAGGGUGGUCUGGAUGGUCGCCACGCGGCGGAUCCGCGGCAUGGACGCACAGCCGGCGUCCAGCACACUCGGUG